rnacentral:rRNA from 1 species
AACGAACGCUGGCGGCAUGCCUAACACAUGCAAGUCGAACGAGACCUUCGGGUCUAGUGGCGCACGGGUGCGUAACGCGUGGGAACCUGCCCUUAGGUUCGGAAUAACUCCCCGAAAGGGGUGCUAAUACCGGAUAAUGUCUUCGGACCAAAGAUUUAUCGCCUUUGGAUGGGCCCGCGUUGGAUUAGCUAGUUGGUAGGGUAAAAGCCUACCAAGGCGACGAUCCAUAGCUGGUCUGAGAGGAUGAUCAACCACACUGGGACUGAGACACGGCCCAGACUCCUACGGGAGGCAGCAGUGGGGGAUAUUGGACAAUGGGCGAAAGCCUGAUCCAGCAAUGCCGGGUGAGUGAUGAAGGCCUUAGGGUUGUAAAGCUCUUUUACCCGGGAUGAUAAUGACAGUACCGGGAGAAUAAGCUCCGGCUAACUCCGUG